rnacentral:snoRNA from 1 species
CCCCUCUCCGGGUCACACCUGGAGAGUUCCCAGUACUCUACCAGUCUCGACUACAGGAGGGAGAGUCAGGCAGAGGCCUACCCAUUCCAUUCCUAGCUUGGCCAGUGGCUAGCGAGUGGAAGGCCAUCUGCUACAAGU